UAGCAGUUACGAGAAACAACCUCGAUAAACUUCUCAUUUAAUAGACCGGUCGAGGCGGGCCUCGAACCGCAACACACGCGAACAUCGUCUGACACAGUCAAACAGUAAAGCACGGGCUACCGAUCGGGGCGGGAGAAACCGACAUGCGGGCUCCCGAAUCCCUCCCGAUAGCAAUGAUAAGUGCACACCGCCUUAGCGGACGCGGAUCUGAACCGGUCGGUGAAGAGAAGGGCUGUGUUUACAACAUAUAUCUCCUCGGAGGUAAAACAUUGCAUAGAGCUCCCGUUCGGAUUGGAAGUGACCGCAAUGCGUGCUUCCAAACCCUCCCGAGGCAGAGCUUUCACGGUCAAAGUACACUAACGUUACACCACCUCAGUGGACGCAGGACUUAAGCCGCGAGAAACGCGAUCAUUGUCUUGACUCAUCAAAACAACGACACACAGCCCGAGUGGUGUGUGGCUGAGUUUAAACAUUUUGGAAGUGCUCUGGCAGCUUAUCGUGCGGACGCUCUUCCGGCCAUUCGGAUUAAACUUCGACACAUGCAGCUCGUAUACUGAGCAUGAUUAAAUCAUUACAUUGCGGAGGGAGGAUAGCUAUGCGUCCUCACCACCCUGUACUCGAAUACAUCAAACCCCUUGGGGGAAGAUUACACGAGAUCACGUCCCUCUCAAUGAGGGGAAGUGACUGCAGUGCAGGCUUCCACACCCAGAGGAGGAACAACGGAGCAUUUUGAAAGAUUGCACCGAUCUCACUGAGGGUUUUCUGCUGUUUAAAGGGACUGAAAGUGUUGUGAUGCAGUUCAGUCCUGUGACCCUAUUUUUUGUGCCACGCUUGGGGACGAUGUCAUCACCGUGGACCUCAGAAAUGGAAAGAUGACAGCACUAUGCAGGGGGCUGAAAGAUUUUGCCUGUAACGUGACCCUGCAGACGUUCCAACCAUGCCUGCUAUGAGAGGCCUCCGCUUGGGUCUCGACCGCCCCCGCCCCUCCUGCAUCCGGGUGACCCGACCACCACUGUCUGAGAUUUGGAGGCCUUUCGGAACCAUUGGCUGGGGAGAUGUGGAAUGAUUGGACUAAACAGAGGAUGUCCCUGGUCGACCUGGAAUUUUGCACAUGACCGAGACGCUGAACUGUCAGUAAAUGUGCUUCAAAGAGGAUUCAAAUCAGCCAAAGAAACUUUGGACUGUUAUACAAUGUGAACCAUAGCUCACAUACCGGCACUGACUUUGUGAUUAUAUAAGGGUUUAAGAUGCAACAGGACCAGCUGGGGCACCCUCUGACAGUUUAAAUUUGAGGUGCAAGGAAACAGAUGGAGGCAGACAACUGAUAGUGUGCUGAUCUCACUGGUCGAACACAUGCAGGCUGUGUGAUCGUGGUCAUAAUGGAGCUCAAACACAUCUGUUAGAUCAGCAAUGGGCCAUUAGAGCACAGCAAAUAUUUGGCCAUGGACGAAGGAAAUCGUGUGCUUUUAUGGUUUUAUGGCACUCGUUUUUUCCAUAUGUAGCAAUGACUCUAGACCAGAACGUCACAAGCACCUGUUUACCUGUAGUUACUCUGAGGUAAACACUCCAGAGAGCCCUAAAAAAGCCAAACACUUGCCUCCGAAACCUUAAGGUCAUAUCUAAACCUUGAGUGAUUAACAUCUCCUCAACACAAGUGCUUACAUAAGUACCCUAUAUGCAAUUUGAUAAUGGACCCGCGUUGUGGCCACUAUUGCACAACUAAACAAACAUUACAUAACCCAAAGCUGAACUCUCCUCUGUUAUUUGUUGUUUUGAUGCUAACAUAUGCAACAGUGCCAUACAAAAGCCUACCCCCCCCCCCCCCCAUAUACAGCUUUGGUAGGUUAUAUACUGUUGGAUAACAUGACAAGUAAAUAAACUUUU